rnacentral:lncRNA from 1 species
AGACUUUCAUCUCAUUUUUCUUUAUACGAGACUUAAGUCUUCAUGAUUUGAUUAACAUUAAGAGCUCUCACGCUCUUUUCUCUUUUGCCUCAGUUGCCCAAGUCAUUUAAAAUACUGAUCAUACACCUUUAUUCUGUUUAUUAGCUUUGUGUAUCUCUGAUCUUAUAGUAUCAAGCCAUUUUUUUCUCUGUCUUUUUAAUACUUUAUUGAGAAAACUCCAAAUCACAGUGUUUAAAACUACAAAAUUAAAGUGAUUAGGCACAGAAAAAAUGAUUAAGCCAAAUGAUCAUUAGAGAAUCAGAAAAGAAGCCUGUACACCUUCAUACUGCCCCUUAGUUGGUACGUGACUUGGGCAAAUCACUCAUGAUUCCCCGGUUCAGCUUUCUUACCUUUGGGCCAGCAUGGCAGGCAAAGCCAUUGCCUCAUAUCCUGCUCUUUCCCAACUCUUCUGGAACCAUUUCUGCCACAUUCUUGCUUCAUUGAAUUUCUACCAGUGUCCUCCAGGUUAAGAGUACAAAAAAAGGUUAAAAGAUGUUUUCACUGAAAAGUCUUCAAAGAGAUUUGAAACUGUCCUGUCUGGUAUUAAUUCUUUUUCUAUUCCUUUAUUGCUCAAUCUUGUUUCGUUGGUCAUGUUGUGUUUCAGCAUUGAGUGUGCUAUUACAUCACAAUUAGAAGCAUAUGAUUACAUUUUAAAUGACCAUUUCCUGUCCAGAUUCAUCACUAAAAUGGCCUUUAUAGUUAGUAAAUUCCAACCCACAUCUAAUGCUAUUUUAACAUCAGAUAUGUUCUUACUAUUUAGAAUUAUCUUAAGCCACGCUUUUACAUGGAGAGUUUGCAAAUCUUUUUUUUAUGUGUGGAAGCUUAUGUUAAUGAUGUCUUUGGCCCUUUCUGGGCCAGAAAUAUUUGGUUCUUAAGGUAUUAGUGGAUUCCCCAUAGAUUAUUUAGGUUAUGACAUGCUAGCGAUAAGAUUUUUCUUCACUUUUAACUAGGGAAAAUAAACUCAUUCUGCCUAUCUGCUCUCUGUUUCUCAAAACUGGAAAGAGGAAUAAACUUGUUUUUACAUAUUCCUUGAUUUUUACCUUGGCCUCUAGAGAGUGGCAGAAACUUGUCACUCCAUAUACACGUGUAGAUUUGGAACCAACAU